rnacentral:lncRNA from 1 species
CCUUUCGCCAGUUAUCACCAAGUGGUAAUAAAGGCACUGACUCUUAAGUCUAUACUUUAAAAGUAGGGGUUCCAAUGAAAAACACUCGUCAGAUACAAGCUCUCUGUAAACAGUUCAAGUGUGUUUUAAAUUUAAACUCUGCCUUAAGCUGUCUAUCACACUGCCUUUGAGAUUCUUGGAAACCUAUGUAGCUCUCGGGAGAAGACUUCAAGAAUAUGUAAUUUUACCAAGGCUAGUUUGUGUACUCUAUUCAGUAAUGUCUUCAAUUUCCCUGACUGGAGUAAAGCUCUCUUUUAUCUAUGGUUAUGGGUCUAUUAUGUUUAUUACAAUCUUGAUAGUCAAAACCACAGAAAACAACUGUCAUCGAACAAACUCUUCCAGAAGCCAUAGACUGUUGUCUGAUAGAUACUAAAUAAAACCCACCAGCAUGGGGCUAUAUAGAAAAGCAAUUUAUUCCAUUAUAAGCACUUACACAGUUAGUCAUGGAGAGUAACAGGCCUGAUGGUGAGACAGGUCAACCAAAAUGGAGAUGGCAUCAAACUAUAGUGGUCAAAGACUAACCCCUAAAAAAGCAACUUUUAUCAAGGAUUAAUUUAAUCUUUAAAAACAAACACAAACUAGCAAUCCACUCUUUCUCAACUUGACAGUUCACCAGUGGUACAACUGCCAGGUAAAAACAUACAUCUUUACAACUUGGUGGUCCCAAGUUUAAAAAAAGAAAGAAAGAAAAAAGGAAAGAAAGAAAAAGAAAGGAAGGAAGGAAAAACCACACACAACAAAAACCAGACUUUGUUCAGCUAAAGUAUACCCAUAUACAUAAAAUAAAUAAAUUAAAAAGAAAAAGUCAGAAAUCAUUAUACUCAGUACCUGUCUUUGAAAAAUGUAGACAGUAACUUUGCUAAGCUGGGUGGCACUCAGAAAGCAGAGGCAGGAAAAUCUCUUUGAAUUUGAAAUCAGCCUGGUCUACAGAGGGGAUCAGAGGACAGCUGUUCCCAAAACACCCCCGACCCAAAUAACUUCAGGGAUAGGGUAACUAACAUAAAACUCAC